rnacentral:rRNA from 1 species
AACGAACGCUGGCGGCAGGCCUAACACAUUCAAGUCGAGCGAGGACUUCGGUCCUAGCGGCGGACGGGUGAGUAACGCGUGGGAACGUGCCCUUUGCUACGGAAUAGCCCCGGGAAACUGGGAGUAAUACCGUAUGUGCCCGAGAGGGGAAAGAUUUAUCGGCAAAGGAUCGGCCCGCGUUGGAUUAGGUAGUUGGUGGGGUGAUGGCCUACCAAGCCGACGAUCCAUAGCUGGUUUGAGAGGAUGAUCAGCCACACUGGGACUGAGACACGGCCCAGACUCCUACGGGAGGCAGCAGUGGGGAAUCUUAGACAAUGGGGGAAACCCUGAUCUAGCCAUGCCGCGUGAGCGAUGAAGGCCUUAGGGUUGUAAAGCUCUUUCAGUGGGGAAGAUAAUGACGGUACCCACAGAAGAAGCCCCGGCUAACUCCGUGCCAGCCGCCGCCGUAAGAC